AUGGAUCCGGCUCUUCGGCGCCGCUCCCGCCUCCCUAUCCACCUCCUGCUGGUGGCCGUCACUUUACUCGCCGCCCUGGCCGCGCGAUCCGACGCGGAGGUCAUCACCCUCACCGAAGAGACCUUCUCCGACAAGAUAAAGGAGAAGGACACAGUAUGGUUUGUGCAAUUCUGCGUCCCUUGGUGUAAGCACUGCAAGAGCCUAGGAACUCUUUGGGAGGACCUCGGAAAGGUUAUCGAAGGUACGGAUGAAAUUGAGAUCGGAGAAGUUGAUUGCGGUGCAAGCAAACCAGUCUGCUCAAAGGUGGACAUUCAUUCAUACCCAACAUUCAAGGUGUUCUAUGAUGGCGAAGAAGUUGCAAAAUAUAAAGGGCCUAGGGACGUAGAGUCUCUCAAGACCUUUGUGUUGAACGAAGCUGAGAAAGCAGGAGAGGUGAGGCUUGAAGAUGAGCUAUAG
rnacentral:rRNA from 1 species